CAGCAAUGAACGCCUUUCUCUAGAAUACAAAAGCAGCUAGAGACACACACUUGACUCACAGCAAUCGAUGAGAAGCAGGGAUCGCCAUUUACAUAAGAGGAGACUGAGGCAUAGAGCAGAUAAGAAAAUGAAUGUAUCUGAAGCCACAAAGCUUUGAAGUGGUGAAUUGAGGACUUAGAGCUAGGCCUGUCUGACUCCAAAACUCAUGCUUUUCCCAGCCCUGCCCCGAAUCCCUGCCAAAAGCGACCUCCUCCAACUGCAGCCUCAGCACCGACACUCUGAUGCUCACUGGUGUGCCUCCUGCCCGCCUCUGCACCACACAAGGAGCUCUUUGAGGACAAGGACUAUGUUGAACUCAUCUUUGUAUUUCCAGCCAUCAGCACAGUGCCAGGGCCAGGG
rnacentral:lncRNA from 1 species